UGUUGAGGAAGAUAAUGACGGUACUCAACAAGGAAGUGACGGCUAACUACGUGCCAGCAGCCGCGGUAAAACGUAGGUCACAAGCGUUGUCCGGAAUUACUGGGUGUAAAGGGAGCGCAGGCGGGAGAACAAGUUGGAAGUGAAAUCCAUGGGCUCAACCCAUGAACUGCUUUCAAAACUGUUUUUCUUGAGUAGUGCAGAGGUAGGCGGAAUUCCCGGUGUAGCGGUGGAAUGCGUAGAUAUCGGGAGGAACACCAGUGGCGAAGGCGGCCUACUGGGCACCAACUGACGCUGAGGCUCGAAAGUGUGGGUAGCAAACAGGAUUAGAUACCCUGGUAGUCCACACCGUAAACGAUGAUUACUAGGUGUUGGAGGAUUGACCCCUUCAGUGCCGCAGUUAACACAAUAAGUAAUCCACCUGGGGAGUACGACCGCAAGGUUGAAACUCAAAGGAAUUGACGGGGGCCCGCACAAGCAGUGGAGUAUGUGGUUUAAUUCGACGCAACGCGAAGAACCUUACCAAGUCUUGACAUCCCUUGACGAUGCUGGAAACAGUAUUUCUCUUCGGAGCAAGGAGACAGGUGGUGCAUGGUUGUCGUCAGCUCGUGUCGUGAGAUGUUGGGUUAAGUCCCGCAACGAGCGCAACCCUUAUGGUCAGUUACUACGCAAGAGGACUCUGGCCGGACUGCCGUUGACAAAA
rnacentral:rRNA from 1 species